CAGUCGAGCGAAUCGACGGGAGCUUGCUCCCUGAGAUUAGCGGCGGACGGGUGAGUAACACGUGGGCAACCUGCCUAUAAGACUGGGAUAACUUCGGGAAACCGGAGCUAAUACCGGAUACGUUCUUUUCUCGCAUGAGAGAAGAUGGAAAGACGGUUUACGCUGUCACUUAUAGAUGGGCCCGCGGCGCAUUAGCUAGUUGGUGAGGUAAUGGCUCACCAAGGCGACGAUGCGUAGCCGACCUGAGAGGGUGAUCGGCCACACUGGGACUGAGACACGGCCCAGACUCCUACGGGAGGCAGCAGUAGGGAAUCUUCCGCAAUGGACGAAAGUCUGACGGAGCAACGCCGCGUGAACGAAGAAGGCCUUCGGGUCGUAAAGUUCUGUUGUUAGGGAAGAACAAGUACCAGAGUAACUGCUGGUACCUUGACGGUACCUAACCAGAAAGCCACGGCUAACUACGUGCCAGCAGCCGCGGUAAUACGUAGGUGGCAAGCGUUGUCCGGAAUUAUUGGGCGUAAAGCGCGCGCAGGUGGUUCCUUAAGUCUGAUGUGAAAGCCCACGGCUCAACCGUGGAGGGUCAUUGGAAACUGGGGAACUUGAGUGCAGAAGAGGAAAGUGGAAUUCCAAGUGUAGCGGUGAAAUGCGUAGAGAUUUGGAGGAACACCAGUGGCGAAGGCGACUUUCUGGUCUGUAACUGACACUGAGGCGCGAAAGCGUGGGGAGCAAACAGGAUUAGA
rnacentral:rRNA from 1 species